CAACAGAACACGUUCAUAACUUUACUAUGCUGUCAUCUACUGGAAGGUGGACUGCAUAACACCCCAGUACAUAAGACUCCUCCCCCAUAGACCUCAAAGUCUUUGAGAUAACUGGGAGGGUGAAUAUUUCUUCUUGGGCGCCCCAAAAGCAUGUUUAGGGCUGCUUCACCUGGACCUUCAGUUGUGCCCAUCCCUUCUUCCUGUGCUCU